rnacentral:rRNA from 1 species
UACGUAGGGGCUAGCGUUGUCCGGAAUCAUUGGGCGUAAAGAGUGCGUAGGCGGUUUUCCAAGUUUUGGUGUGAAAUCUCCCGCUUAACCGGGAGGGUGCGCCGAAAACUGGAAGGCUAGAGUGUGGGAGAGGUAAGCGGAAUUCCUGGUGUAGCGGUGAAAUGCGUAGAUAUCAGGAGGAACACCGGCGGUGUAGACGGCUUACUGGACCAUAACUGACGCUGAGGCACGAAAGCGUGGGUAGCAAACAGG